UUUACCCAUUCAAGGUUUAUGUGAACUGAAGAAACUUGAAGAGCUCGACCUCAGCUAUAACCACAUUGAAGGAAUCCUUCCUCCAUGCCUAGGCAAUUUGACAUCUCUCAGGUUGUUUGAUGUUUCUGGGAACCAAUUCACAGGAAACCAUUUAUCAUCUCUGCUGGGCAACCUCAAUUCCCUAUAGUACAUUGACCUUAGGCAUAAUCGUUUUGAGGGAUUAUUCUCAUUUAGCUCAUUUGUGAACCAUUCCAAGCUUGAGGUGGUUGCAAUUACAAGUGAUAAUGACAAAUUUGAGGUGGAAACUGAAUAUAAAGAUUAGUUACCCAUGUUUUAUCAAGCUCAUGUUCAAUUUUUUUAUCAAGCUCCCUCGAUGGCACAUGCAAGGUAUGGGACCUUGUUACUGGAAGACUUUUACAAACUCGAGCUUUUCCACUACCAAUUACUGCAAUAGUUGUUGAUCCAACAGAGAUGAAGCUAUUUUCUGGUAGUAUAGAUUACUAGUGGAUAUUUCUUUUUUGUAUACGGAGGACAUCAUUUUUGUAUGAUUAUCUGUUUGUAUGGAAUUAUUAUUUUGGGUUGGAUUAUAUUUGGUUUGUAUAGAAUUUGAUGUUACAAUACCAAAUUUUUGGAUGGUUG